rnacentral:rRNA from 1 species
GAUGAACGCUGGCGGCGUGCCUAAUACAUGCAAGUCGAGCGAACAGACGAGGAGCUUGCUCCUCUGACGUUAGCGGCGGACGGGUGAGUAACACGUGGAUAACCUACCUAUAAGACUGGGAUAACUUCGGGAAACCGGAGCUAAUACCGGAUAAUAUAUUGAACCGCAUGGUUCAAUAGUGAAAGACGGUUUUGCUGUCACUUAUAGAUGGAUCCGCGCCGCAUUAGCUAGUUGGUAAGGUAACGGCUUACCAAGGCAACGAUGCGUAGCCGACGUGAGAGGGGGAUCGGCCACACUGGAGCUGAGACGCGGUCCAGACGCCUAAGGGAGGCAGCAGUAGGGAAUCUGCCGCAAUGGGCGAAAGCCUGACGGAGCAACGCCGCGUGAGUGAUGAAGGUCUUCGGAUCGUAAAACUCUGUUAUUAGGGAAGAACAAAUGUGUAAGUAACUAUGCACGUCUUGACGGUACCUAAUCAGAAAGCCACGGCUAACUACGUG